rnacentral:rRNA from 1 species
GGAAGAUAAAAGGCAUCUUUUAUCUUUUAAAAGACCUAGUAAUAGGUAUGCUUUAGGAGGGGCUUGCGCCAUAUUAGUUAGUUGGUAGGGUAAUGGCCUACCAAGACGAUGAUGUGUAGCUGGACUGAGAGGUUGAACAGCCACAUUGGGACUGAGACACGGCCCAAACUCCUACGGGAGGCAGCAGUAGGGAAUUUUCGGCAAUGGAGGAAACUCUGACCGAGCAACGCCGCGUGAAUGACGAAGUACUUCGGUAUGUAAAGUUCUUUUAUCAAGGAAGAAAAGCAAAUGGCGAACCAUUUGUUUGCCGGUACUUGAUGAAUAAGCCCCGGCUAAUUAUGUGCCAGCAGCCGCGGUAAGACAUAAGGGGCAAGUGUUAUCCGGAAUUAUUGGGCGUAAAGGGUGCGUAGGCGGUCUAGUAAGUCAGUGGUGUAAUGGCAACGCUUAACGUUGUCCGGCUAUUGAAACUGCUAAACUUGAGUUAGAUAGAGGCGAGUGGAAUUCCAUGUGUAGCGGUAAAAUGCGUAAAUAUAUGGAGGAACACCAGAGGCGUAGGCGGCUCGCUGGGUCUUAACUGACGCUGAGGCACGAAAGCGUGGGGAGCAAACAGGAUUAGAUACCCUGGUAGUCCACGCCGUAAACGAUGAGUACUAAGUGUCGGGUUAAACCGGUACUGAAGUUAACACAUUAAGUACUCCGCCUGAGUAGUACGUACGCAAGUAUGAAACUUAAAGGAAUUGACGGGACUCCGCACAAGCGGUGGAUCAUGUUGUUUAAUUCGAAGAUACCCGAAAAACCUUACCAGGUCUUGACAUGUUUUUGCAAAAUGAUAGUAAUAUCGUGGAGGUUACCAGAAACACAGGUGGUGCAUGGUUGUCGUCAGCUCGUGUCGUGAGAUGUUAGGUUAAGUCCUAAAACGAGCGAAACCCUUAUCGUUAGUUGCCAGCACGUUAUGGUGGGGACUUUAACGAGACUGCCAAUGAUAAAUUGGAGGAAGGUGAGGAUCACGUCAAAUCAGCAUGCCCCUUAUGACCUGGGCUACAAACGUGAUACAAUGGCUGUUACAAAGGGUAGCUGAACGCAAGUUCUUGGCCAAUCCCCAAAAACAGUCCCAGUCCGGAUUGAAGUCUGCAACUCGACUUCAUGAA